rnacentral:sRNA from 1 species
GCAGGGGUCUUUUGGGAUCGUUGAUUACAGGUACUUCAUAUUCCUUGGAGUCUCAUAAAAAGUUUAAACUCAAUUUUGAUAUUUUGAAUUUAUUUCCUUUCAUACAAGUACAUGUACUCUAUCGGAUCGAGAAUAGUUAAUUCAUUUUGUGAGUAUCAUUAAGGUAAUCUUUAAUAUUUAGAUACCCUUUAAGUGCCCUAACAGGUGUACACUAGAAAAACGUAUAAAACAGACGAUUUUAUAUUAGGUCGAGAACAGUUUUGUUGCUUUGACGCCUUGUGCAGAAUUAUUUCAGUGUCUUCGCAUUUGUAAGAGUAUCUUUAUUGUGAUUUUUGGAACUCUUCCUCCUCCAUUCUUGUACUAACCAAAUGUGUAAGUACAUUAUUUAUUUUAGCAUGUUAAAGGAUUUUCCUUAAUAACUAUAUAACACGAUAACUAUUAUUUCUUUUCAACCACUAAAACCCGGGCUGGUAACUUAAUUGUAAAACUUUUGCAGAUAAUUCUACUAAAAUCGGUUAUUAACUCUAAUAAAAUCGGUUUUUAAAAAGCCUUUGUUAAUUAGGUCUUGAAUAAGUUGGAAAUGCAAAUACUGAAAAUGUAAAAAUAUGAUACGAUAUGGCUAAUAACAGUAAACAAGUUUGCUUAUAAAAGAUAACCGCAGAACACCUGGGGCCUGUCUCACUAAAAGGCGUACGCCCGGCGUAGCCGUACGCCUGGCGUAAAUCCGGACUUACAUGUUAGUGAAAUUUUUGGACUAAAACCUUUCAAUUUCGGCUAAACAUAAAAUGAUUGCUAUUUCUAUUGCUGGGAAUAUCGUUGCUGACAAUAAUGUUAAAUUGUACAACUUGUCAUGUAGAUUUGAUUAAAAUUAAUUCAUAUGAAAUUAAGAAAAUAGAGAGUUUUGAUAAGUGGUAUCAAUUCCCGCAUAGAAACUUUCUUUCUGUACUAUGAUUUAUACACAUUUUUUAUAUUUGCAUUUGCCUAGUACACGUUAAAACGGUAUAUUUAGACAAACGGUCGAUAGAUUUCAUUUGAUUAUACAUGUAAUUUGUAUUCAAUAAUUUGAUUUACGUUUCAUAUUUUUUUAAUCAUAUUGAGUAAUGAAUAAUGCAGAAAAUAUACAUACACGAUGUACAUAUAGUGGAAAGUUGUAUUUGUAUGAUAAAUGUGUAACAUUUCAAGCAUUUCAUUUUUUCCACCAACUUCUAUGCAAAAUAUAUGUAAAUGGAUUAUUUGGAAAUUUAAAACUCACUACAUGAAAUCAUUGCCUCUCCUUUUUUAUUUCAUAUUAAAUGAGUGAAAGGUGUCAUGCUCAGGUAGUUAAUGCUAGGUAAAUCACAAAUGUAUCUUUCAGUACUGUUAAAAUGUGAAUACUAUAUAUGAAAUAUGAGGAAAGCUCCAAAUGUGUUUCAGACUUGUCAAAAGUUCUUGAUUUUUUUUUAAAUACUAGAUAAUAUGUAUUAAUCAUACAACAAAUGAAAAACACUGACUCCAGUUUCAUUACAUAUACUUCCUCUAUAUUAACUGAAAAUCUAUAUGAAGCCUUAUUCAAUACACUAAAUAUACAUGAAUGUGUACUUGGGCAGUUUAUGUAGAGUUCACCACACAUCGGACACAUACACCUUUACCUUGGUCCGGACAACUUUGGUUAAACAUUUACAAAUAAACCUGCACCUACUUUU